AAUUUGACCAGCCAGUGCAAAUGUGUCCCUUGAUCAACUAAACUGGGUGAAUGUAAAAUCAUGGGGAGCCUUGAAGCCUUCUAAUGAACACAUAAAAGAUAAUAAAUGUUUAUUUGCAAGCAUGGAAUUGAAGGAAUCGGCGAGAGAGGCAGAUAAAGGAGAACUUGAAACUUAUAUAAUAUAUGCAAGGCCUGGGAGAUGAUCAGAUGGAUAUACUGGAUGCAACAUGAACGCAAGAGAGAUGGCGAACGUGAAGGCAUGAAUAAGAAGGCUUAGGCUGGAGUUUGCCAUGUGAUAUUUGGAGUGUUGGUUGCAUCCUCGUUGAGCUAUGCUCGGGGGAGACAUUGUUUCAGACACAUGAGAACCUGGAACACCUAGCAAUGAUGGAGAGGGUUUUGGGACCCAUACCAGAGAGCACAUGAUACGGAAGGCUAGGUCCAGGAUUACUUUUAGAACCAAACCCUUAUUAUUGGGCUUGUUUCUCAAGAGAAUGGCAGUAUCUCCACUUGUAUCCUGGAAGUCCAGGGUUUGAGUCAGUAUCCUUAAAAAAUCAAACAAGGGAAAUGUUGGGUAAGAACCUAAUAAUUCCCUUUCCCAGGACCCCACAACAAGUGGGAGUUUUUGAUUCUGAAAUAACCUUCGGUUAUAUUUUUGAGAGUGAAAUAUAUAUCAUUCUCCUUUGCACUAAAGCUUUUGCAUCAAAUGUUUUGAAGAACUCUGGCACGUCCUACCUGCAAAGAAAUAUUUCUUUUAUUUUUACACGCAGUCACAUUUUUUUUGGCUGUGCUUCCUUAAGUUCUACGGUUUAUAGUUGUUCACUGGUUUGCUACUCAGAAGUAGUUUUGGCUUGCAUCUAUUCUGUUAUUGAUUUGUAUAUUGUGAGUUUCAUACUAUUGUCUUUGUGUCUGUAUGUAAAUUUCAGAUAUGUCUUGUGUGCA